UAGGGAAUAUUGCGCAAUGGGGGAAACCCUGACGCAGCAACGCCGCGUGAGUGAGGAAGGUCUUCGGAUUGUAAAACUCUUUUAUCAGGGAAAAAUGGUCAUGGAGCUAAUACCCCAUGAUUUGAUGGUACCUGAGGAAUAAGCACCGGCUAACUUCGUGCCAGCAGCCGCGGUAAUACGAAGGGUGCAAGCGUUGUUCGGAAUCAUUGGGCGUAAAGCGCGCGCAGGCGGAUCAGCAAGUCAGAUGUGAAAUCUCGAAGCUCAACUUCGAAACUGCGUCUGAAACUGCUAGUCUAGAAUGUCGGAGGGGGCAGGGGAAUUUCACGUGUAGGGGUAAAAUCCGUAGAGAUGUGAAGGAACACCGGAGGCGAAGGCGCCUGCCUGGACGACUAUUGACGCUGAGGCGCGAAAGCGUGGGGAGCAAACA
rnacentral:rRNA from 2 species